rnacentral:tmRNA from 1 species
GCCCUUUGCAACCCGUAAAAAGCGCACUAUAUAGCUCGUGUUCCCUCGUGGAACUAUGGACAUAAACGCGCUCGUAAUAAGCGGAUCGGACCCGGGGGCGGUACCCGGCGGCUCCACCAAUAUCCUUCGUUUGGGGAUCAUGGGGCCGAAAUAGGAUCGACGGACGUCUAAAGGGGUUAGCUUUGUCUCGGCUGUCUGCCACCGUUACCGGCGAAAACAGUACAAUUGCAAACGACAAUCGUGCUCCGGUUGCUCUGGCUGCGUAAGCAGUUCGAGUAAUCGAAAUCUAAGCCCUUGCGCCUAGCCGCGUAAGGCGGGGUUCGCAGGUACCUGGCAACAGAAACCUGCACU